AUUGAACGCUGGCGGCAUGCCUUACACAUGCAAGUCGAACGGCAGCGGACCUUCGGGUGCCGGCGAGUGGCGAACGGGUGAGUAAUAUAUCGGAACGUACCUUUCAGUGGGGGAUAACGUAGCGAAAGUUACGCUAAUACCGCAUAUUCUGUGAGCAGGAAAGCAGGGGAUCGCAAGACCUUGCGCUGAUUGAGCGGCCGAUAUCAGAUUAGCUAGUUGGUGAGGUAAAGGCUCACCAAGGCGACGAUCUGUAGCGGGUCUGAGAGGAUGAUCCGCCACACUGGAACUGAGACACGGUCCAGACUCCUACGGGAGGCAGCAGUGGGGAAUUUUGGACAAUGGGCGCAAGCCUGAUCCAGCCAUGCCGCGUGAGUGAAGAAGGCCUCGGUGUAAGU
rnacentral:rRNA from 1 species